GCCUGGGUGGCUCAGUCGGUUAAGCGUCCAACUUCGACUUAGGUCAUGAUCUCACAGUUUGUGGGUUUGAGUCCCACAUCGGGCU
rnacentral:tRNA from 1 species